AUUCAAAUAGCUUAUAUUUAGAGUAUGACACUGAAGAUGUUAGGGAUAUUGAUUUAAUCUUUGAAUA
rnacentral:tRNA from 1 species